GGAUGCGAUCAUACCAGCACUAAAGCAUCGGAUCCCAUCAGAACUCCGAAGUUAAGCGUGCUUAGGCGAGAGUAGUACUAGGAUGGGUGACCUCCUGGGAAGUCCUCGUGUUGCAUUCC
rnacentral:rRNA from 1 species